GUGCUCGCUUCAGCACACAUACACUAAAAUUAAACGAUACAGAGAAGAUUAACAUGGUACGUGAGCAAGAAUGACAUGCAAAUUUGUAAAGUGUUCCAUACUUUU
ensembl:snRNA U6 U6 spliceosomal RNA